rnacentral:rRNA from 1 species
GACGAACGCUGGCGGCGUGCUUAACACAUGCAAGUCGAACGGAAAGGCCCUGCUUUUGUGGGGUGCUCGAGUGGCGAACGGGUGAGUAACACGUGAGUAACCUGCCCUUGACUUUGGGAUAACUUCAGGAAACUGGGGCUAAUACCGGCUAGGAGCUCCUGCUGCAUGGUGGGGGUUGGAAAGUUUCGGCGGUUGGGGAUGUACUCGCGGCUUAUCGGCUUGUUGGUGGGGUAGUGGCUUACCAAGGCUUUGACGGGUAGCCGGCCUGAGAGGGUGACCGGCGACAAUAGGACUGAGAUACGGCCCAGACUCCUACGGGAGGCAGCAGUGGGGAAUAUUGCACAAUGGGCGGAAGCCUGAUGCAGCAACGCCGCGUGCGGGAUGACGGCCUUCGGGUUGUAAACCGCUUUCGCCUGUGACGAAGCGUGAGUGACGGUAAUGGGUAAAGAAGCACCGGCUAACUACGUG